AGGCUUAACACAUGCAAGUCGAGGGGUAUAGGUUUUCGGACCUAGAGACCGGCGCACGGGUGCGUAACGCGUAUGCAAUCUACCUUUUACAGAGGGAUAGCCCAGAGAAAUUUGGAUUAAUACCUCAUAGUAUUAUUGAAUGGCAUCAUUUAAUAAUUAAAGUCACAACGGUAAAAGAUGAGCAUGCGUCCCAUUAGCUUGUUGGUAAGGUAACGGCUUACCAAGGCAACGAUGGGUAGGGGUCCUGAGAGGGAGAUCCCCCACACUGGUACUGAGACACGGACCAGACUCCUACGGGAGGCAGCAGUGAGGAAUAUUGGUCAAUGGGCGCAAGCCUGAACCAGCCAUGCCGCGUGCAGGAUGACGGUCCUAUGGAUUGUAAACUGCUUUUGUACAGGAAGAAACAGUUCUACCGUGUAGAACCUUGACGGUACUGUAAGAAUAAGGAUCGGCUAACUCCGUGCCAGCAGCCGCGGUAAUACGGAGGAUCCAAGCGUUAUCCGGAAUCAUUGGGUUUAAAGGGUCCGUA
rnacentral:rRNA from 1 species